AAAUUGAAGAGUUUGAUCAUGGCUCAGAUUGAACGCUGGCGGCAGGCCUAACACAUGCAAGUCGAACGGUAACAGGAAGAAGCUUGCUUCUUUGCUGACGAGUGGCGGACGGGUGAGUAAUGUCUGGGAAACUGCCUGAUGGAGGGGAUAACUACUGGAAACGGUAGCUAGCUGACGAGUGGCGGACGGGUGAGUAAUGUCUGGGAAACUGCCUGAUGGAGGGGGAUAACUACUGGAAACGGUAGCUAAUACCGCAUAACGUCGCAAGACCAAAGAGGGGGACCUUCGGGCCUCUUGCCAUCGGAUGUGCCCAGAUGGGAUUAGCUAGUAGGUGGGGUAACGGCUCACCUAGGCGACGAUCCCUAGCUGGUCUGAGAGGAUGACCAGCCACACUGGAACUGAGACACGGUCCAGACUCCUACGGGAGGCAGCAGUGGGGAAUAUUGCACAAUGGGCGCAAGCCUGAUGCAGCCAUGCCGCGUGUAUGAAGAAGGCCUUCGGGUUGUAAAGUACUUUCAGCGGGGAGGAAGGGAGUAAAGUUAAUACCUUUGCUCAUUGACGUUACCCGCAGAAGAAGCACCGGCUAACUCCGUGCCAGCAGCCGCGGUAAUACGGAGGGUGCAAGCGUUAAUCGGAAUUACUGGGCGUAAAGCGCACGCAGGCGGUUUGUUAAGUCAGAUGUGAAAUCCCCGGGCUCAACCUGGGAACUGCAUCUGAUACUGGCAAGCUUGAGUCUCGUAGAGGGGGGUAGAAUUCCAGGUGUAGCGGUGAAAUGCGUAGAGAUCUGGAGGAAUACCGGUGGCGAAGGCGGCCCCCUGGACGAAGACUGACGCUCAGGUGCGAAAGCGUGGGGAGCAAACAGGAUUAGAUACCCUGGUAGUCCACGCCGUAAACGAUGUCGACUUGGAGGUUGUGCCCUUGAGGCGUGGCUUCCGGAGCUAACGCGUUAAGUCGACCGCCUGGGGAGUACGGCCGCAAGGUUAAAACUCAAAUGAAUUGACGGGGGCCCGCACAAGCGGUGGAGCAUGUGGUUUAAUUCGAUGCAACGCGAAGAACCUUACCUGGUCUUGACAUCCACGGAAGUUUUCAGAGAUGAGAAUGUGCCUUCGGGAACCGUGAGACAGGUGCUGCAUGGCUGUCGUCAGCUCGUGUUGUGAAAUGUUGGGUUAAGUCCCGCAACGAGCGCAACCCUUAUCCUUUGUUGCCAGCGGUCCGGCCGGGAACUCAAAGGAGACUGCCAGUGAUAAACUGGAGGAAGGUGGGGAUGACGUCAAGUCAUCAUGGCCCUUACGACCAGGGCUACACACGUGCUACAAUGGCGCAUACAAAGAGAAGCGACCUCGCGAGAGCAAGCGGACCUCAUAAAGUGCGUCGUAGUCCGGAUUGGAGUCUGCAACUCGACUCCAUGAAGUCGGAAUCGCUAGUAAUCGUGGAUCAGAAUGCCACGGUGAAUACGUUCCCGGGCCUUGUACACACCGCCCGUCACACCAUGGGAGUGGGUUGCAAAAGAAGUAGGUAGCUUAACCUUCGGGAGGGCGCUUACCACUUUGUGAUUCAUGACUGGGGUGAAGUCGUAACAAGGUAACCGUAGGGGAACCUGCGGUUGGAUCACCUCCUUA
rnacentral:rRNA from 1 species